UACGUAGGGUGCGAGCGUUAAUCGGAAUUACUGGGCGUAAAGCGUGCGCAGGCGGCGCGUUAAGACAGGUGUGAAAGCCCCGAGCUUAACUUGGGAAUUGCGCUUGUGACUGGCGUGCUGGAGUGUGGCAGAGGGAGGUGGAAUUCCACGUGUAGCAGUGAAAUGCGUAGAGAUGUGGAGGAACACCGAUGGCGAAGGCAGCCUCCUGGGCCAGCACUGACGCUCAUGCACGAAAGCGUGGGUAGCAAACAGG
rnacentral:rRNA from 1 species